rnacentral:rRNA from 1 species
GUGAAAUGUUGGGUUAAGUCCCGCAACGAGCGCAACCCUUAUCCUUUGUUGCCAGCGGUCCGGCCGGGAACUCAAAGGAGACUGCCAGUGAUAAACUGGAGGAAGGUGGGGAUGACGUCAAGUCAUCAUGGCCCUUACGAGUAGGGCUACACACGUGCUACAAUGGCGCAUACAAAGAGAAGCGACCUCGCGAGAGCAAGCGGACCUCAUAAAGUGCGUCGUAGUCCGGAUUGGAGUCUGCAACUCGACUCCAUGAAGUCGGAAUCGCUAGUAAUCGUAGAUCAGAAUGCUACGGUGAAUACGUUCCCGGGUCUUGUACACACCG